rnacentral:rRNA from 1 species
GACGAACGCUGGCGGCGUGCCUAACACAUGCAAGUCGAACGAGGUCCAAGGAAGCUUGCUUCCUGAAGACCUAGUGGCGAACGGGUGAGUAACACGUGAGAAACCUGCCUCGGAGUGGGGAAUAACUCGGGGAAGCUCGAGCUAAUACCGCAUACCUUCACAUGAUCGCAUGGUCGAGUGAAGAAAGAAUUUCGCUCUGAGAGGGUCUCGCGGCCUAUCAGCUUGUUGGUGGGUAACGGCCUACCAAGGCAACGACGGGUAGCUGGUUUGAGAGAACGAUCAGCCACACUGGGACUGAGACACGGCCCAGACUCCUACGGGAGGCAGCAGUGGGGAAUCUUGCGCAAUGGGCGAAAGCCUGACGCAGCAACGCCGCGUGCGGGAUGACGGCCUUCGUGGUUGUAACCGCUUUCAGCAGGGACGAAAUGACGGUACCUGCAGCAGAAGCCCCGGCAACUACGUGCCAGCAGCCGCGGUAAU